GAUGAACGCUGGCGGCGUGCCUAACACAUGCAAGUCGAGCGAUCUUCUUCGGAAGAGAGCGGCGGACGGGUGAGUAACGCGUGGGUAACCUGCCCUGUACACACGGAUAACAUACCGAAAGGUAUGCUAAUACGGGAUAAUAUGCUUUUAUCGCAUGGUAGAAGUAUCAAAGCUCCGGCGGUACAGGAUGGACCCGCGUCUGAUUAGCUAGUUGGUAAGGUAACGGCUUACCAAGGCGACGAUCAGUAGCCGACCUGAGAGGGUGAUCGGCCACAUUGGGACUGGGACACGGUCCAAACUCCUACGGGAGGCAGCAGUGGGGAAUAUUGCACAAUGGGCGGAAGUCUGAUGCAGCAACGCCGCGUGAGCGAUGAAGGCCUUCGGGUCGUAAAGCUCUGUCCUCAAGGAAGAUAAUGACGGUACUUGAGGAGGAAGCCCCGGCUAACUACGUGCCAGCCGCCGCCGUAA
rnacentral:rRNA from 1 species